GAGUUUGAUCUUGGCUCAGGACGAACGCUGGCGGCGUGCUUAACACAUGCAAGUCACGGGGGCCCGCAAGGGCAACCGGCGAACGGGUGCGUAACACGUGAGCAACCUGCCUUGAUGUGGGGGAUAGCCGGCCCAACGGCCGGGUAAUACCGCAUACGUUCACGGAGAGGAGUCUCUCUGUGAGGAAACCUCCGGGGCAUCAAGAGGGGCUCGCGGCCUAUCAGCUAGUUGGCGGGGUAAUGGCCCACCAAGGCGACGACGGGUAGCUGGUCUGAGAGGAUGGCCAGCCACAUUGGGACUGAGAGACGGCCCAGACUCCUACGGGAGGCAGCAGUGGGGAAUCUUGCGCAAUGGCCGAAAGGCUGACGCAGCGACGCCGCGUGUGGGAGGACGCCCUUC
rnacentral:rRNA from 1 species